CGGACGGGUGAGUAAUGUCUGGGAAACUGCCCGAUGGAGGGGGAUAACUACUGGAAACGGUAGCUAAUACCGCAUAACGUCGCAAGACCAAAGAGGGGGACCUUCGGGCCUCGCGCCAUCAGAUGAACCCAUAUGGGAUUAGCUUGUAGGUAAGGUAACGGCUUACCUAGGCGACGAUCCCUAGCUGGUCUGAGAGGAUGAUCAGCCACACUGGGACUGAGACACGGCCCAG
rnacentral:rRNA from 1 species